rnacentral:rRNA from 1 species
GACGAACGCUGGCGGCGUGCCUAAUACAUGCAAGUCGAACGCUUCUUUCCUCCCGAGUGCUUGCCCUCAAUUGGAAAGAGGAGUGGCGGACGGUAGAGUAACACGUGGGUAACCUACCCAGCAGAGGGGGAGAACACUUGCAAACAGGUGCUAAUACCGCGUAACAGUUUAUGCCGCAGGGCAUAAGAGUGGAUGGCGCGUUCGGAGGUCACUAAGGGAUGGACCCGCGGUUCGUUAGCUAGUUGGCGAGGCAACGGCGCACCAAGGCCACGAUGCAUAGCCGCCCCGAGAGGGUGAUCGGCCACCCUGGGACUGAGACACGGCCCAGACUCCUACGGUAGGACGCAGUCGGGAAUCUUCGGCAAUGGACGAAAGUCUGACCGAGCACCGCCGCGUGAGUGAAGAAGGUUUUCGGCUCGUAAAGCUCUGUUGUUCGUGAAGAACAAGAACGUUAGUAACUGAGCGUCUCCUGACGGUACCUAAACAGAAAGCCACGGCUAACUACGUG